AAAUACAAAAAUUAGCCGGGUGUGGUAGUGUAUGCCUCUAAUCCCAGCUACUCGGGAGGCUGACGCAGGAGAAUCACCUGAAACUGGGAGGUAGAGGCUGCAGUGAGCUGAGAUCGUGCCACUGCACUCCAGCCUGGACAACAGAACAACACUGUGUCAAAAUAAAUAAGUAAAUAAAAGGGGAUUUAAUUUUAAAAAUUAAAUAAUAUAUAAAAAUAAAAAGUGAUCUGAGAAAGACAUAUUGUAACAUAUUGGGCUCAUAUCCGGCCCAGCAGCACAGUUCUAGAAAUUUAAGACAAAUUCUGAGGUUGGUAUAGAAAUACUUACCAGUCAAAAGCACAGCCUAAGGCCUUCACACACCAUAAAAUCAGUGAAACUAAUUGCGGUUCUUCAGCAUCUGCGGAGCACUGGCUACCAGUAAGGAGAAAGUUGGGGAUGCAGAUAAUCAGUGCACCCUGAGGUGACAGUUAAUUCCACUAGCAUACCAUUUCACAGGAGAUGUUAUGGCAUUCUACUUCAUCCCCCUACUCUGAGAAUGCUGAAACUGGCUGGAAAUUUCAACAGUUAGCCAAAUGUCAAAUGUCCUUUGAAGAACUUUAAUAAAAUCUGGAUCCUCCAAAAUCCCCUGCGUAGAAAGAUCUUGGAACUCCUCUGAGCCAACAUACACAGACCCAAUCACAUGUUAUCCACACAUUUUCCAAGUAGACAAAUAUUCUCUGAAACAUUUUCUGAUAACUUCUUUCACAAAGACAAAAAAUAUGUUAAGGUGCAUUCCACCUAGGUCAGAAUAAUACACUUUCUGAUCUGAAGCACAGAACAGCAAGUGGGAUUUCAAAAAAGAGCGUACCCUGACCAACUUUUAUGCUCUGUUGAAGGCAGAGGCUGGAAGCUUAAAGACAGGCUUUUAAAAGCCAGCUAAGGUACAGUCUGCAUUUCUCAGAAAAGUUGCCUAUGGCUAAAACAGAGCACAAAAUGAGAGAUAAAAAAGCAAAACCACAAACCCCUGUACCGUCUGACCCGGGAGUCCUCACUUAACAGAUGAGAAAAUUACCAGGGAAAGUAACUUGCCCUGGGCUGCAGUUUAUUUGGCGUCAAAGCUGUAAGCAGAUUCCUGGUCUCCCAGGUCGGAAUUCAGUGUAGCUUCCCCAUCCACCUAACUGCCACCCCACGGAAGAUGCUGUAUAAAACUCUUCACUCUUCACUGAGGCUGUUAACAUAAGGGUCCAAUUAUCAUUCAAAGAUCAGCCUGUUAGAUAAUAGCUCGAAAAUUCCAUCCAUUUUACAGCAGUUACCAGAGACAUCUAAUCUUCGAGGAAAAAAAAGCAAAAAGGAAAAGGGGGAAAUCCUAAUUUUGACCUGACCCCUAAGGUCAAACUAAAGGAUUGAAUACAGACCAGCAGACCGUAUUGGUAUCCGCAACCACAAAAACAGACAAUAAUCCCACCCACAAGCAGAGGAAGACGGCCGCUCCUCGGCACCGCCCCCCAACUCACUAAAUUCCACUCCCAUUCCGGCGUCCAGAGGACAGUGCACCUCCCGCCGUAGCCUGAGAGGGAUCGGCCCGAUUGGCCACGCUCCUUCAAACCACCACUUUCCCCCGAAAAAGGGACGAAAGCCUCAGGUCCCCAAACGAGCGCUCCCUCGCCCAGAGACCCCGGCUUGCACACCCCGCCCUGUUCCCCGCGGCGCGGGAGGAGAGGCCGCCCCACACAGGAAGUGUGUCCUGCGCCGGGACCUUGCGCCCAACCCGCCGGUACCUGCCCUCCGCCCCCAACAGGCGAGAAGCAGCCGCGUCCACAUGGCUUCAGGUGUUCACAUGGCAGUAAACGGGCCCCUGCUCUCCUGGGCGCCCCAGCGCGGCGCCCUCCCGCCCACAUCCCGGCCCAGCCCCGCUGGCCUCGCCUCCAGCCCGUAGCCAAGAGGCGAGCGCGGCCGGUGCCCCCGGGGCUGCCAGGGGCCCCGAAGCAGGCGGCGCUGACUCCCGGACGCCGCCCGCUCACACCCGCCGCCUUUGCACCCAAGGCCUCGCGCGACCAGCAGAUGGGGCCACUGAGGUGCAAAGAGUUUAACUUAUCCCAAGUCACACAGUUUGGAAGAGGCUGAGCUGGUAUUUGAACCCAGGUUUUCAGAGGCUGCACUCUUAACCACCAAGCUUCCCAGCACUCAGCAAACACUGGAAAGACAGAGAUGGACCUAGACAGUCAGUAGGACCAAAAGUCUGCAGGCCGAUAGGGAAAGAAUGUAAGAGGACGGCAUGGGCAGCGCCAGCCCCUCCAGCAGUCAUAUAUUAAGCCCUGGACACUGGGCAGCUCGGGCAGGUCGGGGGGCCUCAGACUCUCGGACCCCAUGCCUGGAAGACCACGGUCUGCCCAACAAGCAGCAGCUGCUGUGAAUCGACUUACACAUCUUCCCCACAGGUGAGCAGAGAGCUAACACCUGAGGAUAGGCCAAGAAACGGGAAGCCCGUGCAACCUGAGCGCACAGAUCACCCCCACCUGCCCGGCACUCACUGUCCCCAGUGGCUGGACUCUCAUCGGGCCAGUCACUGAGCUGGCGCCAGCCUGGUCUCACCAGUGUGUGUCUUUAAAUCAUCCAAUUUCUUCAGCUGUAAAUUGGGCUGGGAGGGGCCAGGUGAGCUGCCUGCCUCAGGGGAGUCGGCGCCCUUACCUGAGUGAUCCCAUUCACUCCUCACAACAAACCCAUGAGGCAGGGAUUGUCAUCUUCAUUGUACAGAGCAGGAAAUGGGUGCACACAGAGGUUAAGAGACUUGCCCAGGUCACACAGCUAGGAAGAGGCUGUGAUUUGAACUCAGUCUUCUGGCUCCAAAGCCCCCACAGAGUCACUCAGGGCACUACAAAGAGUUAACCUGAAUAUGAAAUGAUCUAAGAGUCGCAGUGACAAAGGCAUGCUCUAAGCGCUUUUCCUGCAGUAACUUGCUUAAUCCUUACAACAACCCUAUAAAGUGGGUACUGUUCUCGCCUCAUUUUGCAGAUGAGGAAACUGAGGCACAGAGCAGCUCGGAGGGGGCAGAGCUGAAUCUGACAGGCUACAGGGCCCCUGCGUUGCUUUGUUAUAAGAUGACAAUAAGGAAGUUCCUUUCCUUUGGGAUUAUUUCUGCCUGAAAGCUCAAGACUUUUAGCCACAUCAUUGUCUGGGCUCCACGGGAAGGCAGUGCCACAUGCUGAGGCAUGCUGGGAAAAGACUUUGUUCCAUCCUGUUUUGUUGACAUGCUCUUCAUUUUUAAGCCUGAAACCGAAGCUUCCUGCUAAGAAUUCAAACCAUGGAGAAAAACGCAGCCAUGAUAACGGCCACUACUUCCUGAGCCUCCAGUGUUCCCUGUGCUUGGGGAUCCAUAUAUGUCACUUAACCUUAACCUUCACAACACCAGGGCAGCCUCCAUUUUCACAAGUGAAGAAAUGGAGGCCCAGAGUCACUUAGAAGAUGCUCGAAGGUGCACAGCUGCUAAGUGGUGGUGCUGGGAUUUGUCCUCAGGUCCUCAAGAGUCCUGACUCUUAUGUGCUGGCUCCCCACGGAGGCGUGGAGUCUUGUUUGCUGGGCAUUUGACAGAAAUGUUUCUGCUCAUCUUCUGCCACAGUGACUCGGGGAUAGCUGCCCUGAUGCCAAGGCGAUUGUCUUCUGGAAGCAGCCACGCCGUGUGAGGUUCCUCAUCACUGCCCUGCAUCUCCCUGCGAGCUCUCGGGGAUAAUUGCAAAAUCACGUUUGAUUCCAGGGGAGCAGAAAGCAGCAGGAGCCGUGAAUUCUCCAACUCUUAACUGGUCCUCGACUGGAGCCACUUUUCCCUGCCCACCCAUCCCUGUGGCGGAUUCAUUACAGUUAUCCAAAGCCGGUUUUAACUUUGCUCCCCCUGGCUCAGAAGUCUGUCAGUGGGUCCUGAGCGGCUUCACCAUUCAAGUUUAUUCCUAUCAGCCUGGAAUACAAUGCUCUAUCUGGCUCCGCUUGCUUCUCCAAACCUUCUCUCCCAGGUCUCAUUCUGCCUCUCUGUCUAACUAGACAAGUUGGCUUCCUGUCCUGUGCCUGUCUGCUCCCUGCAGCAGGAAUGCCGUUCCCUCUUCCCUACAGAUUGAAAUUAUAUCCUCUUUCAAGUCUUACUCAAAUGCCACCUCCUCCACAAACUCUUAACACUUAUUCAUUCAUUCAACAAACAUUGACUGAGCCCUUAUGACAAGCAUUGAUCCCAAGGGUCCCUGUGGUCAUGAAGUUUAUGGUGCCAUGGAGCUGUUAGAAAAAGAAUCAUCACAUAAAUAAUCAUCUGAUAACAGCCAUGAUACAAAUUAGUAAGAAAGUGUGGCAGGAGCACAGCAGAUGUACAAUAGGGACCCUGAGCCUUGGGGAUCUAGGACAUUUGAGCUGAGGCCUGAAAGACAAGUAGGAAGUAACCACAUGGUGAAGUUGGAGGAGAGCUCCAGGCAGAGGGCACGGCAUGGGCAAAGGCCCUGCGGUAGGAGGGAACAAGUAGAUUUCCAGGAAGGGCACAGGGGCCUGCAGGGUAAUGUAAGUGAAAUGAGAAAGCUGGAGAUGCAGCUGGAGCAGGACAGUACAGGCCACAGAGGCUUUGCGACUUUAUCCCUGGGCAAAAAGAGGAGAUGAUGAAGGAUUCUGAGCACAGGACACAAGCCAGUAUGUAUUUAGACGCGAUCCUGCCCUGUGGCUGAGCCUCUUCUGAGAAGUGCAGGCCCUGUGUCACGUCACCCUGAACCUCAGUCAUCAGGGUUUUGGAUGUGAGUUUCCAUAUCCCUCUUCCUAGGCCAAGCUCUCAAAGGCAAGGCUGACCUCUGGUCUUCAGCUUCAUCCUCAUCAGCCAGGCCAGUGCCCAGCACAAGGAGCUGCUCCAAAAACAUACGUGGGUUGAACCAGUGACCAGGACAAGACGCUUAUCAGCAUUUCCCUGCGAAGGAGCAGGGCUGCCUGUAAAGCCUUCCACAUUCUCUAGAAAUUACAAAGUUCAAGGGUUUUAGUGAGGCCACGACUCAGGGAGCCCUUGAGAGCCAAGCUGGCAUCCCACUGCUGUGCACACCCAGCCUGGGCACACAGUAUGACCCUGCCCAGGCAUCUGCCUGCGGCCGUCUGGUGAAUGACCAGAAACAGAACCGAAAGCUCUGUAAAGUGCUCUCAAGGUUACAAAGCAUGUUUCACAGGAGCAGUUUCAUCUCACACGGGCAGCCCUCUGAGCUGGGUAGUUACUGCUUUACAGAUGAGGAAACUGAGGCCCGGGAGAGGGCGGGACCUCAGCAAAUCAAGAAAAAACUGAGACUAGGACCUAACGGAAGUCCAGGCUAUGAAUGGCCCCCGUAGGGUUAAAAGAGCUUUCUAGAAAUUUCUUUGAAAACUAUUGUAAAGUGACAUAUUUCCUCAGGAUGUCUGUCACGCCAGCAGUGGGAGCCAACACACCAACUCUCAGAGGCUGUUCCCCCUGCGCGGCAGAUCCAGACGCUCAGCUCCCAGGCCUGGAGGCUGGCGGCUUAGCCCAGGGCACAGGAGGAGGCUGCCUGGGUUUGGCGCUGACUUACAGCAGGUGCUGAGGGAAUGCUGAGGAGAGGCAAGGCUGAUUCAAGAGGCCGACAACAGAGAACAUUCCUAGAGCUCUCCCGCCAGCUAGGCAUGGUGCUAAGUGCAUUACCUGCGUCCACUCGUAACAUCCUCACAACACUGUGAAUACGAUGACCAUCCCCAUGUACAGGCGUGGACGCUAAGGCUCAGAGCAAUAAAUAAUUAGCCUGAGAUCACACGGCAGGUGAGUGCAGAGGCCGGAUCUGAACCCACACAUUGCCCUUAAGCAACCCCAUGUCCUGAGCAAAGGUGAGCAGAAACAUCUUGGGAAGAGGGAACCACGACUGUAUCUUCCUCAGCAGACAUGAUGGUGCAGGGUACCCCUUCCCCUGCCCACCUGACGACCAUUAUUCCCAUUAUCAGUAUAUCCCUCUGUGGGCAAAUGAUGACAGACAUGCAUGGUAACCACUUCUUCACAAGUUUUGUGUCUCCCCAGCCUCCUCCCCUAGGGCUCUCUAGGCUUCCUUUACCCGUCCUGCCUCAGAUGGACUCCCAGCAUCAUCAUCUGCCUCUGUGCCUUCUUGGUAGUAGGUGGGUGUGAAAAAGAAAGGAAGGGCCAGGUGCAGUGGCUCAUACCUGUAGUCCCAGCACUUUGGGAGGCUGAGGCGGGCGGAUCACCUGAGGUCAGGAGUUCGAAACCAGCCUGGCCAACAUGGUGAAACCCUAUCUCUGGUGGCAGGUGCCUGUAAUCCCAGCUACUUGGAAGGCUGAGGCUGGAGAAUCACUUGAACCUGGGAGGCAGAGGUUGCAGUGAGCAGAGAUUGCGCCACUGCACUCCAGUCUGGGCAACAGAGCGACUCCCUCUCAAUAAAUAAAAUAAAAUAAGGAAGGACAGAGGGCAAUGUGACCUUCGGCAAGCUCCCUAAGCUCCUGAAGCCUCAGCCUUUUCACCCGUAGAACAGGGACAUUAACAUCACCCCCGAGUGAGGGCUGCAGGCACACAGUGACUGCGCUUCUCAGUGCCACAAGUGCUGUUGCCAUCAUUCCAGCCUCAGGUGCUCCGUGAGGUGGGACGAUUCACCCCAUGAGCAAACAGGCUCAGGGAGGUGUGGUGCCUACAGUCACCCAGCAGACACAGCGGAGCAAGGAGGAAGCCACACCUG
rnacentral:lncRNA from 10 species